rnacentral:misc_RNA from 1 species
UUUCCGUAGGUGAACCUGCGGAAGGAUCAUUAUUGGAUUUUGAAACUUCAGGUUGCUGCUGGCUCUCCUCGGAGGGCAUGUGCACGCUUGUUAUCCAUUAUUUCUCCCACUGUGCACAAAUUGUAGACCUUUCAGUAGGCCUAUGUAGUUUUUCACAAUCUCUGAAUGUAAUAGAAUGGUUUUGAGUCUUGGGAAAUACAAUACAACUUUCAGCAACGGAUCUCUUGGCUCUC